GGGUUGUGAGGUUAAGCGACUAAGCGUACACGGUGGAUGCCCUGGCAGUCAGAGGCGAUGAAGGACGUGCUAAUCUGCGAAAAGCGUCGGUAAGGUGAUAUGAACCGUUAUAACCGGCGAUGUCCGAAUGGGGAAACCCAGUGUGUUUCGACACACUAUCAUUAACUGAAUCCAUAGGUUAAUGAGGCGAACCGGGGGAACUGAAACAUCUAAGUACCCCGAGGAAAAGAAAUCAACCGAGAUUCCCCCAGUAGCGGCGAGCGAACGGGGAGGAGCCCAGAGCCUGAAUCAGUGUGUGUGUUAGUGGAAGCGUCUGGAAAGGCGCGCGAUACAGGGUGACAGCCCCGUACACAAAAAUGCACAUGCUGUGAGCUCGAUGAGUAGGGCGGGACACGUGGUAUCCUGUCUGAAUAUGGGGGGACCAUCCUCCAAGGCUAAAUACUCCUGACUGACCGAUAGUGAACCAGUACCGUGAGGGAAAGGCGAAAAGAACCCCGGCGAGGGGAGUGAAAAAGAACCUGAAACCGUGUACGUACAAGCAGUGGGAGCCCUGAUUUAUCAGGGUGACUGCGUACCUUUUGUAUAAUGGGUCAGCGACUUAUAUUCUGUAGCAAGGUUAACCGAAUAGGGGAGCCGGAGGGAAACCGAGUCUUAACUGGGCGUUAAGUUGCAGGGUAUAGACCCGAAACCCGGUGAUCUAGCCAUGGGCAGGUUGAAGGUUGGGUAACACUAACUGGAGGACCGAACCGACUAAUGUUGAAAAAUUAGCGGAUGACUUGUGGCUGGGGGUGAAAGGCCAAUCAAACCGGGAGAUAGCUGGUUCUCCCCGAAAGCUAUUUAGGUAGCGCCUCGUGAAUUCAUCUCCGGGGGUAGAGCACUGUUUCGGCAAGGGGGUCAUCCCGACUUACCAACCCGAUGCAAACUGCGAAUACCGGAGAAUGUUAUCACGGGAGACACACGGCGGGUGCUAACGUCCGUCGUGAAGAGGGAAACAACCCAGACCGCCAGCUAAGGUCCCAAAGUCAUGGUUAAGUGGGAAACGAUGUGGGAAGGCCCAGACAGCCAGGAUGUUGGCUUAGAAGCAGCCAUCAUUUAAAGAAAGCGUAAUAGCUCACUGGUCGAGUCGGCCUGCGCGGAAGAUGUAACGGGGCUAAACCAUGCACCGAAGCUGCGGCAGCGACACUGUGUGUUGUUGGGUAGGGGAGCGUUCUGUAAGCCUGUGAAGGUGUGCUGUGAGGCAUGCUGGAGGUAUCAGAAGUGCGAAUGCUGACAUAAGUAACGAUAAAGCGGGUGAAAAGCCCGCUCGCCGGAAGACCAAGGGUUCCUGUCCAACGUUAAUCGGGGCAGGGUGAGUCGACCCCUAAGGCGAGGCCGAAAGGCGUAGUCGAUGGGAAACAGGUUAAUAUUCCUGUACUUGGUGUUACUGCGAAGGGGGGACGGAGAAGGCUAUGUUGGCCGGGCGACGGUUGUCCCGGUUUAAGCGUGUAGGCUGGUUUUCCAGGCAAAUCCGGAGAAUCAAGGCUGAGGCGUGAUGACGAGGCACUACGGUGCUGAAGCAACAAAUGCCCUGCUUCCAGGAAAAGCCUCUAAGCAUCAGGUAACAUCAAAUCGUACCCCAAACCGACACAGGUGGUCAGGUAGAGAAUACCAAGGCGCUUGAGAGAACUCGGGUGAAGGAACUAGGCAAAAUGGUGCCGUAACUUCGGGAGAAGGCACGCUGAUAUGUAGGUGAAGCGACUUGCUCGUGGAGCUGAAAUCAGUCGAAGAUACCAGCUGGCUGCAACUGUUUAUUAAAAACACAGCACUGUGCAAACACGAAAGUGGACGUAUACGGUGUGACGCCUGCCCGGUGCCGGAAGGUUAAUUGAUGGGGUCAGCGCAAGCGAAGCUCUUGAUCGAAGCCCCGGUAAACGGCGGCCGUAACUAUAACGGUCCUAAGGUAGCGAAAUUCCUUGUCGGGUAAGUUCCGACCUGCACGAAUGGCGUAAUGAUGGCCAGGCUGUCUCCACCCGAGACUCAGUGAAAUUGAACUCGCUGUGAAGAUGCAGUGUACCCGCGGCAAGACGGAAAGACCCCGUGAACCUUUACUAUAGCUUGACACUGAACACUGGUCCUUGAUGUGUAGGAUAGGUGGGAGGCUUUGAAGUGUGGACGCCAGUCUGCAUGGAGCCGUCCUUGAAAUACCACCCUUUAAUGGCUGGUGUUCUAACGUUGGCCCCUUACCGGGGUUGCGGACAGUGUCUGGUGGGUAGUUUGACUGGGGCGGUCUCCUCCUAAAGAGUAACGGAGGAGCACGAAGGUUGGCUAAUCCUGGUCGGACAUCAGGAGGUUAGUGCAAUGGCAUAAGCCAGCUUGACUGCGAGCGUGACGGCGCGAGCAGGUGCGAAAGCAGGUCAUAGUGAUCCGGUGGUUCUGAAUGGAAGGGCCAUCGCUCAACGGAUAAAAGGUACUCCGGGGAUAACAGGCUGAUACCGCCCAAGAGUUCAUAUCGACGGCGGUGUUUGGCACCUCGAUGUCGGCUCAUCACAUCCUGGGGCUGAAGUAGGUCCCAAGGGUAUGGCUGUUCGCCAUUUAAAGUGGUACGCGAGCUGGGUUUAGAACGUCGUGAGACAGUUCGGUCCCUAUCUGCCGUGGGCGCUGGAGAACUGAGGGGGGCUGCUCCUAGUACGAGAGGACCGGAGUGGACGCAUCACUGGUGUUCGGGUUGUCAUGCCAAUGGCACUGCCCGGUAGCUAAAUGCGGAAGAGAUAAGUGCUGAAAGCAUCUAAGCACGAAACUUGCCCCGAGAUGAGUUCUCCCUGAGACUUAGAGUCUCCUGAAGGAACGUUGAAGACGACGACGUUGAUAGGCCGGGUGUGUAAGCGCAGCGAUGCGUUGAGCUAACCGGUACUAAUGAACCGUGAGGCUUAACCUUACAACGCCGAAG
rnacentral:rRNA from 1 species